CUCCUCCUCUCCGGAGCCUGGCUGGGGCAGCGCCCACCCACCUCCGAGCGGCCCCAGAGAGGCUGAGCCUCCCACGCGGGGAGGGACGGGGUAAACUGAGGCAUAGCGACUUGUGCAAGGUCAGCCGGAGAGUGAUGGAAGGACCCCAGGAAUUCUAGAACCCCCGUGCCGCCAACUGUCACGAUUUUUUGCCUCCUUCCCGAAACCAGACCACUGGUGACGCAAGCGCCUUCUCCUCUGCAGCUUCAAGCCUGUGAGCAUCUCAGAACCUGCUGAACCCCGAAAAGCAGCCCCAGAGGAACUCAGCACACAUGCUGGUUUCACAGGAUUGGGACCAUGAAUUGUGGCUUGCUUCAUACGUCUAAAAGCCAGAAGGGAUCAGCUAGUCAGCGAGCCUGCAAGAAUUGCCAGGCAAAUCUCUGUGGCAUGGGCUAUGCGGAAGGGUGAACACAAUGAUCCCUUCUGGCUUUAAAAUAUAUCUAACACAGGCCAGCAGAUUUCACUCAUCCCAGUGAGUUUGGCAGGCAGAGACUUGAAGCUACAUCUCCUGAAUGCCAGGGCAGCAUCAGAUCCACUAAAACCAGCCUCCCCUCCCCGUUCCCCAAUGCUAACACGCAGUAAUUCCUGCUCUAACAAAUGACAUUCGUUGCUGGCAGUCAGCAGCCUCUAAAUCUACAAAGUUGGAUUUUGCAUGGGAGCUUUUUCUUUCUCCCAACUACACAAUAAAGCAAUCAUCAUGCAUGGGGUGGUGGGGGGAAGAGAUCAGGGCAGAGAAAUUGGACAGGUUAGAGCUUAAGCCAAUAAAGUGCUUUUAAAAUAAAAUUUUAAAGGCAUGGUAACAUUCCACACUAGCCAGCGUCUAAGUGAACCCAAGGUGAGGCCAUGUGCACAUAAAGGGAAAAGCCAGCGGUACGCGGCUUAAUGAGUCACUGCUAAAACAUACCCCCGCUAAAAAAGAUACUCUGUACCAAGCCAGGAACUAUAUAGUGCUCCUGAGUGGAGUGUAUAUACAGAGAGAGCCGCUCAGGGCAGGACUCUAUACAAACAAAACUCCAACACAAAAUAAAUUCAUUCUGCCCCACAAGACAGGCCGGAAAAUGCAACGGGCUGGACGCAGAAGAAAAACAUUAGUGUUUAGACAAGAGCAGCAAAGUUCUCAGUCAGGCCUCUGUUCUGAAAAGGGGAGGGGUGGGCACUUUCCCAGCAAGGGAGUUAAUAAAAGAUUUACCUUACCCUCCCCAGUGAGGUCAGGCCAAUAGGAGUUUCCUCUAGCAAGUUAACAGAGAAGGAUUAUUUCCCGAAUCACACAGGAGCAGCUAGAAUAAAGCUGGAAGUUUAAAGGGGCUGCACGGCCCAGUGGGAGACCCCGGCUGUCUCACCUUGGACAAAUACCUCUCAGCAUCCAUUCCCCCUCCCACCCUGGCACAGUGGGGAGGACACUGGGCUGGCCCCCAAGAAAGCUAGGUUCUAUUCCUGGAUCUGCCAUUGACUCUGUGAGAGCCCCUGGGCAAGUCAUGGCCCUACUCUGUGCCUCAGUUUCCCCAUCUAUAAAAUGGGGAAUUAGUAAAGACUCCUUUUCCCCGUCCCUAUGCAAAGCGGAAACUCUAGGGGAAAGAUCCAUCUCGCUACACAUGUCUGGGCAGCACCAGGUCUCAGAGGGAACUCUAGCAGCUACACUCAUUCAAACAGAUAAUACCUCCCCAUCCAAAG